rnacentral:rRNA from 1 species
AUUGAACGCUGGCGGCAUGCUUUACACAUGCAUGUCGGACGAGUGGCGCACGGGUGAGUAAUACAUCGGAACGUACCGAGUCAUGGGGGAUAACUAAUCGAAAGAUUAGCUAAUACUGCAUAUUAUUCGAGCGGCCGUUAUUGGAUUAGCUAGUUGGUGGGGUAACGGCCUACCAAGGCGAUGAUCAGUAGCGGGUCUGAGAGGAUGAUCCGCCACACUAGGACUGAGGGACGGCCCAGACUCCUACGGGAGGCAGCAAGGGGGAAUUUUGGACAAUGGGCACAAGCCUGGUCCAGCCAUGCCGCGUGUCUGAAGAAGGCCUUCGGGUUGUAAAGGACUUUUGUCAGGGAAGCGGUACCUGCAGAAUAAGCACCGGCUAACUACGUGCCAGCAGCCGCGGUAAUAC